AAUUCUUUAUUUUUAAAUAAAGUUUAAAAGUAAUGUGAGUAGUGUAAAAUAUUCAAAUACAGAAAUGUAUAAAGUUGAAAAUCUCCUGUAAUCUACACUGUUCAAAGAAAGCCAUUAAUAGACUUUUCUAUGCAUUAUAAACAUAAAUAUGCACAUUUUUAAAUGAGUUCAUACAUUUUCCUGUCAAUAGUUUGUUUCACUUAAUAUAUUAUGGCCAUUUUUCCAUGUCUACACACAAUAAAUUUACUUCCAUUUUAACAGACACCUAGAUUUUCUUUUAUGGCUGAACCAUGUGUUAUUUAACCAAUCCUUUUGAUAAACUUUUAAGUUUUCUUCUACAUUUUUCUACCAUGUAAUUUUCAUACUUCUGUAGUAACUUGAAUAUUGUCAGUUCCUGUCUCAUUUUGCGUUCCGAUUUGGAAGAUAAUUUCAGUAUGGCCAUAAGCUCUAAUUUAAUAAAUACUUGGAUCUGUCAAGUUUCGAUAUUGGUAGAUACUGUAUCAGGUAGGACUCAAUUUCAAGCAAGAGAAACCCAACUCAAAGUAACUUAAGCAAAACAGGGUAUUUAUUGGUUCACAUAACUGAAAAGUCCAGGGGAUAUACUAGCUUCAGGCACGGUUGGAUCCAGGGGCACAAACUUUGUUAUCAGGACUCAAGUCUCUCCAUCAUUUGGCUCUGCUUUCUUCUGCACUGGCACUUUCUGACUGGCUCAUUUGAUAUGGUGGGCCCUGGUGGUUUGAGUUUUUCAUCUUACAAAGCUAAGCGACUUCAAUAAAGAGAGCUUCUGAGCUUCUCCUCCUCCACAGUUCAGUAAAAUUCCUGGGCUUCAGUAUCACUAGACCAACUUGAAUCACAUGAACAUUCCUGAACCAAUCACUACAGUCAAGGAGAUGGACUAUGCUGAUGGAUCAGGUCUGAACCAUGUGGACUGAAAACAGGUAAAUAUGGUUCCAAGAAACAUCAGGGAGUUGUUACAAAGAGAUGGAAUGGAUGCUGGUCAAUCAAAAACAACUCCUGCCAAUGAUAAGACCAGAUAACGCAAAAGUUUAACCUCUGGUCAUAAAGUUGAUGCUAACAUUGUUACUUCCUCGAUAAUACUCUGGAAGAACAUCAUGAGGAGUAAGUUUGUCCUGUUCACAGGAAGUUUGUAAUCCAUUUGAAUGAAACAAUCAUCUUCAAUAGCAUACUCUGGAUGAUACAACACAGUUUCAAUAUAAGUAAACUCAGUGGUCAUGAGUCUGAAGGCCCAACUGUCUUGCUGACAUAAAGCAGGAUAACUAGCCUCCCACCAGCGAACAGUUCUGUGAGGCUAUUCAAGUCAGUGGUAAAUUUUAAGUUCAGUGGAAGAGUUUUCUUGUGUUAAGUCUUUUGGCAAGUUGAACUG
rnacentral:lncRNA from 1 species